UGAACGCUGGCGGCACGCUUAACACAUGCAAGUCGAACGAGGUCCAUGGAGCUUGCUCCGGAAGACCUAGUGGCGAACGGGUGCGUAACACGUGAGAAAUCUGCCCCGGACUCUGGAAUAACAGUUGGAAACGACUGCUAAUACCGGAUGCCUUCAUUUGGCCGCAUGGUCGUUUGAAGAAAGAUUUAUCGGUUUGGGAGGAUCUCGCGGCCUAUCAGCUUGUUGGAGAGGUAACGGCUCACCAAGGCAUCGACGGGUAGCUGGUCUGAGAGGAUGAUCAGCCACACUGGAACUGAGACACGGUCCAGACUCCUACGGGAGGCAGCAGUGGGGAAUCUUGCACAAUGGGCGAAAGCCUGAUGCAGCGAUGCCGCGUGCGGGAAGAAGGCCCUAGGGUUGUAAACCGCUUUCAGGAGGGAAGAAAAUGACGGUACCUCCAGAAGAAGGUGCGGCCAA
rnacentral:rRNA from 1 species